rnacentral:ncRNA from 2 species
CGCUCAUCCAGAGGGGCAGAGGGAACGGCCCGUUGAAGCCCCGGCAACCCUCCCGCCGACCGCGAGGUCACACGGUGGGGAAGGUGCCAAUUCCGUCUUGCGACGCGACCCGCGGCGUGAGGAAGAUGAGGA